rnacentral:rRNA from 1 species
UACGGAGGGGGCUAGCGUUGUUCGGAAAUACUGGGCGUAAAGCGCACGUAGGCGGCGUGGCAAGUCAGGGGUGAAAUCCCGGAGCUCAACUCCGGAACUGCCUUUGAAACUGCUGCGCUAGAAUUCUGGAGAGGCGAGUGGAAUUCCGAGUGUAGAGGUGAAAUUCGUAGAUAUUCGGAAGAACACCAGUGGCGAAGGCGACUCGCUGGACAGACAUUGACGCUGAGGUGCGAAAGCGUGGGGAGCAAACAGG